AUGGCGACCGGCGCACGGGUGAGUAACGCGUAUCCAACCUUGCCAUAGCUACGGAAUAGCCUUUCGAAAGUAAGAUUAAUGUCGUAUGCUGUUAUUAGCAGACAUAUAAAGAGAACGAAAGAUCUGUCGGUUAUGGAUGGGGAUGCGUCUGAUUAGGUUGUUGGCGGGGUAACGGCCCACCAAGCCUACGAUCAGUAGGGGUUCUGAGAGGAAGGUCCCCCACAUUGGAACUGAGACACGGUCCAAACUCCUACGGGAGGCAGCAGUGAGGAAUAUUGGUCAAUGGACGCAAGUCUGAACCAGCCAAGUAGCGUGCAGGAUGACGGCCCUAUGGGUUGUAAACUUCUUUUAUGUGGGAAUAAAGUGAGGGACGUGUCCCUCUUUGUAGGUACCACAUGAAUAAGGACCGGCUAAUUCCGUGCCAGCAGCCGCGGUAAUACGGAAGGUCCGGGCGUUAUCCGGAUUUAUUGGGUUUAAAGGGAGCGUAGGCCGUUUGUUAAGCGUGUUGUGAAAUUCUGUCGCUCAACGACAGAGGUGCAGCGCGAACUGGUACACUUGAGUGCGCGGAACGCAGGCGGAAUUUGUGGUGUAGCGGUGAAAUGCUUAGAUAUCACGAAGAACUCCGAUUGCGAAGGCAGCUUGCAGUAGCGCAACUGACGCUGAAGCUCGAAAGUGCAGGUAUCGAACAGG
rnacentral:rRNA from 1 species